UAAAUAUUUAUCCAUCGUUCCGUAAAUUUUGAAUUUUUUUACAGUUUUAUUAAUUUUUUCUCUAGCUUAAUUAUUUUUUUCUGCGAUUCCGUUCCGUGAUUAAACGAUGGUUAGCUUUAAUACUACAUGUUACCAUAGUCUUUCUCGUUGCAACUCUUCUCAAAAUCUCAAAAGGGGUUAUACUCAAGGGGGUGUAUUGAACCAAGAAUUUUAGGAGAUUGUAAGAUUUGAUUAAAAUCCCCGGUUAUUCAAGUAGUGAUUUUGAUUUUUCUUUUUAAAUCCUCUGUUAUUCAACAUGGAGUUUGUGUAAAGUUAUUAAAUAUCAUUUGAAAUCUCCUGUUAUUCAAUUAACAACUUAUAAAAACUAUCCCAGAUCUAGUGUUAUUAAAAGCUAAACAGUAUUUAGAGAAAACAAAUUGUAAAGAGGAUUUGAGAAUACUUUACGUCAUUUUCUAGUCAGAAACAACACCCAUAGAAUAACAUAUCUACAGAUGUUAUUUGAGAGAACUGAAAGAAAAAAAAAGCAUUGCCUUGCCGUAAAAAAAACUCCUUCAUCUCUUGCAUCACGCAUAUUGUCGAGUAAGCCACCGUGGAGAAUGGGAUGAAGAGAGUGAUGGUGAGUUCGUGGAUCUCAUCUGUUUUAUCACUUAUGUGAAGCUUUCACCAUGGUUUUGCUGUAGAAUUGUUGAUCGGUUCGAGCUGCCACACAAUGAAUCGCUUUGAGCUACUUUCUUCUCAACUCAGAAGCUCAUUGAUAAGAACCAGAAAUCUGAAUCGGAAGAAAACGAUAGAAUUCUUGGUGUACUUUUCGAGCCAUCGAUAGCUCACUUGACACAGAAAGUUCUUAAGCUUUUGGCUGUUUCUACUCCACUCAUAUUACUCGGAACUGACCCUGCUUUUGCGUUUUUUUCAAAUUCCAUAGUCAUUGGUUACUUCUCUUGGAGACUUCGGAGACAACAUAACUUAGGUUUUGCUUCGGCCUUCUUGCUUAUCUUUUCUCUGAACCUGGAGACAAGACUUUCUUAAGUGCGGUAAGACCUUGAGCUUGAGAUUUUAUUUUAUGCAUUACAAACUCCAUGUUAUUAGACAGGUUAUUGACUGUUAAAAGGUUUCAUGAGUUUGUUUAGACUCUUUUAGCAGCAAGGAAUAACGCUGCUACUGUUUUCGCUGAGACUUUGGUACUCUUGGGUAUGCUUUCUCUCUCAAACAGAGGCGUUACGUCAUGUCUGAAACAAAUAAUUGUGGUGAUUUUGCAUGUUAAUGACGAUAACAUGGCGGUGGAUGUAUCCACAGUAAUGCCAGGAUAGAAGCCAUCAUUGCACAUAAAUUUGCUGGUUCCUUUGCCUUGUCGAAGAGAAGGCAUUCACUGGCCUCUCCAUCUCCAAAAUAUUGCGGCUAGUAACUAUUGUUUUCUUUUGACUCCUUUAGUAGAUUAAAAUUUGACAUGUUUUUAAUAUAUUCAACUAUACAUUAGUGUCCAUGUUCGUAAUAUAUUUCAAUAUAUGUUAAUGGCCAAGUUUGAUUC